AUUGAACGCUGGCGGCAGGCCUAACACAUGCAAGUCGAGCGGUUGAAGGGAGUUUGCUCAUGGAUUCAGCGGCGGACGGGCGAGUAAUGCCUAGGAAUCUGCCUGGUAGUGGGGGAUAACGCAAGGUAACGGGAGCUAUUAUAGCAUCCGAUCUGAGGGUGAAAGAGGGGGUUUUCGGGUCAAAAAGCCAAUAGCUGCGCCUAGGUCGGAUUCGCUAGUUGGUGGGGUAAAGGCCUACCAAGGCGACCACCAGUAACUGGUCUCAGAGGAUGAUCAGUCACACUGGAACUGAGACACGGUCCAGACUCCUACGGGAGGCAGCAGUGGGGAAUAUUGGACAAUGAGCGAAAGCCUGAUCCAGCCAUGCCGCGUGGGUGAAGAAGGUCUUCGGAUUGUAAAGCACUUUAAGUUAGGAGGAAGGUCAGUAAGUUAAUACCUUGCUGUUUUGACGUUACCAACAGAAUAAGCACCGGCUAACUUCGUG
rnacentral:rRNA from 1 species